AUUGAACGCUGGCGGCAGGCCUUACACAUGCAAGUCGAACGAGUGGCGGACGGGUGAGUAAUGUCUGGGAAACUGCCCGAUGGAGGGGGAUAACUACUGGAAACGGUAGCUAAUACCGCAUACCAUCGGAUGUGCCCAGAUGGGAUUAGCUAGUAGGUGGGGUAACGGCUCACCUAGGCGACGAUCCCUAGCUGGUCUGAGAGGAUGACCAGCCACACUGGAACUGAGACACGGUCCAGACUCCUACGGGAGGCAGCAGUGGGGAAUAGUGCACAAUGGGGGCAACCCUGAUGCAGCCAUGCCGAGUGUAUGAAGAAGGCCUUCGGGUUGUAAAGUACUUUCAGCGGGGAGGCGGUACUCGCAGAAGAAGCACCGGCUAACUCCGUGCCAGCAGCCGCGGUAAUAC
rnacentral:rRNA from 1 species